CGUCGGCGAGCUGUGGAGUGGUCAUGUGUACGUGCGUGUCGAUGGCACCUGCGGUGAGGAUCUUCCCGUUCCCGGCGAGGACCUCCGUUUCCGGGCCGAUAACCAGAUCGGGAUGUACUCCGUCCAUCGUUUCCGGAUUUCCGGCCUUGCCCAUGGCUGCGAUUCGUCCACCACGCAGGCCCACGUCCGCCUUGAUCACCCCCCAGUGGUCCAGCACCAGGGCACCGGUGAUCACCGUGUCCGGGGCCCCGCGGAUGCGGGAGCGCACUGACUGGCCCAUCGACUCGCGGAUG
rnacentral:sRNA from 1 species